UGCUAUACAUGCAAGUCGAACGCUUCUUUUUCCACCGGAGCUUGCUCCACCGGAAAAAGAGGAGUGGCGAACGGGUGAGUAACACGUGGGUAACCUGCCCAUCAGAAGGGGAUAACACUUGGAAACAGGUGCUAAUACCGUAUAACAAUCAAAACCGCAUGGUUUUGAUUUGAAAGGCGCUUUCGGGUGUCGCUGAUGGAUGGACCCGCGGUGCAUUAGCUAGUUGGUGAGGUAACGGCUCACCAAGGCCACGAUGCAUAGCCGACCUGAGAGGGUGAUCGGCCACAUUGGGACUGAGACACGGCCCAAACUCCUACGGGAGGCAGCAGUAGGGAAUCUUCGGCAAUGGACGAAAGUCUGACCGAGCAACGCCGCGUGAGUGAAGAAGGUUUUCGGAUCGUAAAACUCUGUUGUUAGAGAAGAACAAGGAUGAGAGUAACUGUUCAUCCCUUGACGGUAUCUAACCAGAAAGCCACGGCUAACUACGUGCCAGCAGCCGCGGUAAUACGUAGGUGGCAAGCGUUGUCCGGAUUUAUUGGGCGUAAAGCGAGCGCAGGCGGUUUCUUAAGUCUGAUGUGAAAGCCCCCGGCUCAACCGGGGAGGGUCAUUGGAAACUGGGAGACUUGAGUGCAGAAGAGGAGAGUGGAAUUCCAUGUGUAGCGGUGAAAUGCGUAGAUAUAUGGAGGAACACCAGUGGCGAAGGCGGCUCUCUGGUCUGUAACUGACGCUGAGGCUCGAAAGCGU
rnacentral:rRNA from 1 species